ensembl:lncRNA
UUUUUUUUUUUUUUUUUUGUCUUUUUGCUAUUUCUUUGGGCCGAUUCCGCGGCAUGUGGAGGUUCCCAGGCUAGGGGUUGAAUCGGACCUGUAGCCACCGGCCUACGCCAGAGCCGCAGCAACGCAGGAUCCGAGCCGCGUCUGCAACCUACACCACAGCUCACGGCAACGCCGGAUCGUCAACCCACUGAGCAAGGGCAGGGACCGAACCUGCAACCUCAUGGUUCCUAGUCGGAUUCGUUAACCACUGCGCCACGACGGGAACUCCAGCAUUUUGAGUUCUUAAAGGCCAUGCUCUAAAAAUAAUAACCAAGAGUUUCUGUUCUAUAAAUGUUUGAUGAAUCUGCAUUUGAAAAUGUUCAUAGUCAGAAUUAGGUGUCAAUUUCCAUGUUAAAUAUUUUAAAUAAGUAUUUGUUUUCUGCUAGCAAGAGUUUUAGUUUUAGUUUUUUCCUUACUUUAAAAAAAUUCUUAGCUGAAUUAACAUUACUUUUGGGCUGAAAGGUCAAAACACAGGCUACGCCAUUUAAUAAAAUCAAAGAAACCAUACCAAAACAAACAAAAACCUUGGGAUUUUCAAGUGUCUUUAUGAAGUAAACCCUGUAAUCUAGCCUAGUAAUAAGUGAUCAAGUUCCACAAAACAGGCAGGAGAUAAACCUCUUUCUUCUCUGAUGAAAGACUCAAUAUUAAAUCUCAUUGCCUUUUUUCCUCCCCUCAAACUUUUAUUCCAAUAUUUGAGUUAAAAAAUUACAUUUUAAAAUGUUGAAGGGUAAUUUUAAAACUUAUUAUAAAAGACUUUAUGCUGCUGGACAAACAGGCAGACCAUCAAAGUAAUGUGAUUUUGCCUGAAGGUGGUAUUUAAACUCAAUAAACUGGAGAGUCAUUGUUUUAUCUUAAAUUUAUUUUAUGUAUUUGCAUACUAUGAUUUGAAGUACUAAGGGACGUUCUUAAACCUAUGGAAUUACUAAAUGCUGCAAUGAUUUUUUUAUUUAUACUAAGUCUAUUUAAUUGCAGAACUUAUGUAACUAUAAUGUCAUAAUGUCUUUCUGGGUGUGAUUCAAUAGCCUGGUUAUUAAGCUAUGUGUAUAAUAGGAUUGCAGCAACAAGCUUGGAAAAGAAGAAAUGGAUGAACGCAAAUGGCAUAAGAAUGGACUAAUUGGCAUCCAUUAUUAAUUAGAUGGGAGGGAGCAUUAGAUGAUGUGUCUAUGACUAUCUCAAAUUUUUCCAAAUUAGUUAAAUAGAAGAAAAGCAGUGACUAAUAAUAGAAGUAAUAAAAUCUGGAAGAGAGUUUAUGAGACAAUAAUUUUAAGUUUGUUUUUACUUAUACUCAGUAUAGAAAGAAGCUGGAUUUCCAGGUCCCAGCAGAUGGCCCUUAAGUGAUGAUACAGUCCAGCUUAUUUAUGUUUUUUUUCUCUUUAUAUUAAGGCUAUGAUUCUUAAUGAACUAUCUGAUAAGGAGUACACAGAGGUAUAAUAGAAGUAUAAUAACAUGCUGUGUUUUUGUGCUGGAGAAUAUCUACAGUUAGAGAAAUAUAGCAGAACUUGAUAAAACUUAACUUUCAGUCAUCCUGUAUCUUUUUUUCCCCUACCUUUCCUGCUAAUAUAGCUAGUUUUUCUUUUUUGCUGGCACCUUGUCCUCUUUCUCAUGAAACUUCAAUGACUUUUUUGAAAAGAAAACUUUCUUCAAAGUACAUAAUUUCAACUCUAACUUCUACCCAUAUGCAGAAUAAUACAUAUGUUAUUGUCUAUUUCCCCUCAAAUCACUGGAUAACUGUCAUUUCUACCCUUUGCACUAUAAAAACUUCCAUGCAUCUGGCACCUCUCCACUAAAAGCAGCUCUUGGGUUAAAUUUUCUCAUCUCAUCUUUUAUUUCUUCAGCAGUUCAAAACUUCCUCUAAUGUAUAUUUUUGUGCACAAUUCAUCAUGCAGUAUUCAAUUUUAAUAAAUUCAUUUAAUGUGAAAAGGUUACUAUUUUAUACUCAGUCAUCUAUGAAAUGUAAUUAUUCUGGCUAUGUACCCCACCAACAGCAAAAUUGCAAGUUAAUGUGAUAAACCGUGGUAUGGUCUUAGAACAGAGAGAAGAUAAAAUCAAGUGAAACACAUUUGCAUAGAAACAUCUCAAGGAUAAUUUUUGAUAUCUUAAACAAAGCAUACAACCUCAGUCAUCUGUAUUGACUUUCUCCUUUAACUGAUUUAUUCAGGCAUCUGUAUUUUGAGGUAGUAUCUGAUGUACACCAUCCUGCAAAUAGUUAUUUUCUGGUUAAAAAAAAUGAUGCUCGGGGCUUUCUUCAUGGUAAUAAACACAGGGAAUCUGAAGAUGCAAUACACUGCAACUCUGAAAUGUUAUAUAUGAAAUGACGUCUUUGAGACAUUUUUCUGGAGUGAUGCUAUGAAUGGGUAAAUAUAUAUACUCACAUAUGCUAUGGUACUCCUCUGACCUACCAUUAUUGUGCUCUGUCAUUAGUUUCUUGAUAUACUAAUGGCUUGAAGUAUAGCUUGAGGAAACUUUACUAUAUCCCUUGUUUAUUUUUCCUGAACAUCAGCUGUUAGAUUUUGCUUUUGGUUCUGGCAUGGACUCUUGAGGGAAGCUCUCUUAGAGGCUGCAGGACAUGACGUGGUCAAUUUAUGAUCACAUUUACACCUAAGAAAAAAACAAGAAAAUCUUAAAUCUUAUGUCAAAAUCUGUAUUAAAACACUGAAUCUUAAAACAGGUUCUCAGAGAGGACAGAGAGAAAAGAUUUUAUCAGCCAAUUCCUCACAGUCUCCUGUAGCUCAGUGUUCAAUGUUCAUCUGUUUGAUGCCAACUCUCAGACACUUUCAGGUUACAUCAUCCAGCCCUUUUUGAUAACUUCCAGGGAAGCUAAAUCCCAUAUGACAGCACUAGUGGAUGAGCACAGAUCAUGAGCACAGGACAGUCAGCAAGAAGAGGCAGCUGCCUCCCUCCAGCUUGCGACUGUGUAACCUACUCAGUCCAGUAGUGCGUGCAUGUGAGCACCAAGCAUAAAACAUGGAGUUUCAGCCUGUGGAAUUCAAUUAAGAGAUGGAUGAGAUAAAGCUUGAGGUCAGGCACUAUUGAGUUAUUCCAUGACUAUAGGAGCAGCUGUCAUAUUGGGUUCUACUGGACAAGCAUGGGGAUAACUAAAACGAUGUAGCCUUUCAUGAAAAUGAUGUUAAACUCUGUUUCUUCAAAGAAAGAAAUCUCCCUGUUGCCUAUAAGAAUGUGGUUAAUGCCAGGGGAUAUCACUACCAAAAAUUAGAAUCCUAUCGCCAUGUGAAUCUAAGGAGGUAUAUAAAUUGGUUUCAGCUUUGGUAAAUGCAUUGCAAGAGUCUUGUGUGAAAGACAGGCCAAAAUUUAGAACAUGAAUUUGGAUAUAUAUAUAUUUUUAGAUGGAUGCCAUUUAAUUAACAUGAGGAGAUGAGUGAGAAGGGAGUGCAAAGUGACUAUAAUUUCUUUGCUUGAACCACUACAUCACAUGGAUUUUUGAGGCCAAGAUGGUGGGGAAUAAAUAAUAUCUCAUUUUAAACAUAAUGUGUUUGAGAUUCUUAUGAUGUUUAUAGUGGAAGGAUAAGGACAAAGGUGGAGUGGUAUUUUGAAACGAAAUUUAAGGAAAAAUUAUUUUAAGUUGUGUUAUAUUUGUUUUUCUAAAGGGCAUUGAGUCAUAGUGUAGUGUGAGUGGAGUUGGGAAGUUGAGAAAUGGUCUCUGAGGAAAGAGGCAGGAAGGCAGCAAGGCUCAUUCUAGAAGCAGCAAACUUGAGUCUGAAAGCCAAACUCAGCCUUUAUUAGCAUGCAAAUAAGUUACUGGACUUGUCUAAGCUGUAAGGGAAAGCUAGAUUUAAGACAGAACAAAAAAGACAACCAGUGUAUUCUGAUAAGAGAUUGAAGAUAUAAAUGUUUUGCUGAUGACAGACAGUGGACAUAUUUUAGACAUGCAUAAUGGUGUGAGUUAGGAUCAAAAAAUCAUGAAUAUGAGCCAUUUUAGAUUUUAAGAGAUGAAAAAUGGUAUAGAAAAGCUGAAUUUUCUAUGGGCAUAAACAAAGAUAUGACAUGUCGUUAAAGAAAAAGAAUAAACACCAUGAUUUUAACCUUGAUGACCACAAGGGACAUAGUGUUAGUGACGUUGUACCUGUCAUGGAGAUAAAAGGUUGAUGAGCCUCUUGCCCUGAGCACUCCAAAAUAUGUAGCCUGUACUUGGUUUUCUAUGAUAAUCUAUGAGAGAGAAUGGAUAUGUGUAUAUGCAUGACUGGUCACUUUGUUGUACAGCAGAUUAUCACAACCUUAUAAAUUAACUAUACUUAUAUAAAACUUAAAAAAAAUGUGACCCCCUCUGUUCCUGUCUCUUUGAUCAAAACUCAGAAUUUGGACCUACUCUGCAAUACUUAUAUAUUUUCUUAUUGGUGACUUUCAUCUGUUAGGGACUUUGAAAUUUUUGUUUUUUUUGUUCUUACUUCCCCUUCAGGAUUUGUUUAAGGUGACACUACCUAUGAAAGGUAUAGAUAUUAAAUGUCAUAAUGAUAAAUACAAUGGUGCUUAAUUAACAUUUUGGCAAAUUAUUAAGCGAACAGUGUGGCUUAGGCCCACUUACAUAUACUAGCCAGCAACAGGCAUGUGAAGAACAAAAUAGAACAUCUAUGCAUUCUAAUCCAUAAGCACAAUAAUGCCACCUAACACUAAACAUAAACUAAUGGAGGUCUGGGGUUCUGAAAAGUGAGGAGCUAGGGAGGGACAUGUGCUGACAGUCUGAGUUGUAGACAGGAGUGUUCCCUCUGAAUAGGAAGAAACAGAAAUGUUGGGAGAGUGAGAUGAAAGUUGCCACAUCCUUAUAUCCUCCAUUCUCAUGGUUUUCAGCAAGCACUUUUAUACCAACAUUAUCAAAUCUAAAUAUUAAAUCCUGUAUUUCUCCUGAGGAAGAGAUCUUAUAUGCAGCUAUCUACAAGGACAUUCUCAUAUAGGUAUCCAUAGUGGCUCUCUAACUUGGUGUAUAAUACUCCAUCUUUCUACCAA